UACGGGGGGGCAAGCGUUGUUCGGAAUUAUUGGCGUAAAGCGCGCGUAGGCGGUUACUCAAGUCGGAUGUGAAAGCCCUCGGCUUAACUGAGGAAGUGCACCCGAAACUGAGUAGCUAGAGUACUAAAGAGGGUCGCGGAAUUCCCGGUGUAGAGGUGAAAUUCGUAGAUAUCAGGAGGAACACCGGUGGCGAAGGCGGCGACCUGGGUAGAUACUGACGCUGAGGAGCGAAAGCGUGGGGAGCGAACGAG
rnacentral:rRNA from 1 species